AGUAGCCUCAAAUCAAGGGGGGAGGCUGGCCUGUAAUUGUUACACUCUGUGAUGAUUAUGAAGUCAGCUCAUUGCACCUGCAGACUGCCCAAACUAAAGGUGGGCCACUGCCCCCACAGUUUCUCUCUGCUUCUGGUCAGCUGGGUUGUCCUGCAUGGUGACGGGUGUCAUCCCGAACAAACCAGAUGGCAUCAGAGGCACUCCAUCAAGUGGGAGAUGGGGAGGAGGCUGUACUGAAGAAAGAAAACUUCAACAUGAUGAAUGCCCUUGACCAACUGCCAAAACCCUUUCCAAACCCCAAGUCUAUGAACCGGACCGUCACUACCAAAGGACUCCCACUAGUCUCAAAGGGCAAUUUGGUCAACUUCUUGGAGGAUGAUACCAUCAACCUACUGAAGCCGCUGCCAGUAGAGGAUUCAGACUGCAGCUCUGAUGAGACCAGCAUCUCUGCCUUCUCAUCCACCUUGCUGAACCCCAUCAAAUUAGCUGUGACCCAGCCCAACAGCAGCUUCUUUGCAGGGAUGCUGGAGGGGGAGCUGAACAAACUCAGCUUCUCCCCAAUGGCCAAGAAUGCAGAAAACGAGGACCUGGCGCUCGGCCCCUGCCCAUGCCCAUCGAAGUCCCAGAUGGCCACAAGGGGCCUGCUGGACCUCGACAACCCUGAGCUGGAGACAGAAACCUCCUCAACGCACUCAGAAUCUUCUGUGGUUGUGGACCUGCCGGACACCCCCUUCAUCUUUGAGCACACCGUCAACAAUUCCACAGCUGUGAUUUCCUGGACCUACGCCUUGGGCAAGCAGCCGGUCAGUUUCUACCAGCUCCUGUUACAGGAGGUGGCCAAGACACAGGAGAAUGAGUUGCCCGAGGCAAAGAAUCGUCCAUGGAUCUUCAACAAGAUUUUGGGCACUACUGUCAAGCUGAUGGAGCUAAAGCCUAACACGUGUUACUGCCUCAGUGUCCGUGCAGCCAACACAGCUGGGGUGGGGAAGUGGUGCAAGCCCUACAAAUUUGCAACCCUGGCCACUGACUUCAGCAGCUUUCCUGAGAACUACCCCAUCCAGAUCACCGUGCGGCGCAAGGAACCCCGGCAAAAGAUCGUGUCCAUCGGGCCGGAGGAGAUGCGGAGGCUGGAGGAUCUGGAAUACCUAUUUCCCUGUUAAGGGGGAGGGCCCCAGGACACCCCUCACCUACUUUCAGCUUCAACCCUGGGCCCUCAGGAACCAGAGCCAUGAGACCUACCAUACCACCAGCACCCUGCGGGCCCGGGGCCUGGCAGAGUGUUUUGGAGCUUGAGAACCUUCCAGGCCUGGUGCAGUCUGAGAGCACAGCAGACAGACAGCUGGCACCAAGGAGCUCAGUGGCUGAUAGUUUUGUUCGCUUCUUAUGUAGCCUCACUGCAGAGAUGUGCAAGGUGGAGGCCAAGCACCACAGCUAGGUGACGCGCAAAACCCAAAAGCACAGACAAGGGUGGAGGAGGGUAAGAAGGAGCAAGAUGCUAGUUCUGAGCAGUUUAUACAAGGAUGGUUUGGAAAUCCAAUCUGAGUAGUUCAGACCAUGACCCUGCUUAGCAUGGGAUGCAGGAGAAAGCAGAGGCAGGGUACAUUCAGGGCAAGAUCUCGGCCUGGGGUCUGAGUCCUGAUGGGAAUUCCUUUCACUGCUUGAAAGUUCUCGUGGCAAAGAACUUCCUCUGUAUCAACCAUACCCACUUCUGCUCAGAGCUCAUACUGCUGCCUCCCCAUCUGAGGGAAUCCUCUGGAAGAGCCAUCACCUUCCCCGCUCUAUCCCAAGGGCCCAGGGGAGUGCUUGGUGCCUGGCAGGGCCUCAAGCAGUGUGCUAUGCGAAGGCAGAGGCGUCCCCUGGAGCAGGGCUGACCAGCAGAACUCUCUUGAUGAUGAAAACCUUUCUGUGUGCUGUCCAAUACUGGAGGCCUUACCCAGUGCGAUGGAGGAACUGCACUUCUAUUUCAUGCCAGCAGCCACAUGUGGCCGGUGCCUACUGCAGUGGACAACAAUACAGCCCUAGAUUCUCCUUGGCCACUAUCACAACUGGCCUCUCUCUUACCGACACAGGGGAAGAGAGGGAAGAACCAGGAUUUGAACUCAGGUCUUGCGACUCUGAAGUCUAGUGACAGAAAGACCUGGACGCGCCCUCUACGAGGUGUCCUGUGGCCUCUGUUGUUCCGGUGGCCCUCCCACUUGUGGCCCUCCCACUUGCCCACUGAGAAUCUGGCUCCACACGCCUCCUCAAGACAGUCUGAGCACCUGGACGGCCCUGCGGAAUUCUAUGCUGUAAGGGAAAGUGUGCACAGAAGGACCUUAGGGGUAGGAGGGCUGUGCAUGCCAACCACCACUUCCCCCACACUCACAUCCGGAGGCAUUUGUCCUUCCCACCACUUGCCACUCUCUGGCCAUCUGGACUCCAGUCAACAGCAUAUACCUAAAGGGAGGCAGAGGAAGGCAGGUGGGGUGGUGAGAGGGAGACAGCCAGCCAGGCUCCAAUCCCAGUCCCUCCUUUGCCUGAGGGUUGGCCCUACCUCAUCCGCGUGGCCGGGCAGGUCCAUGGCCAGCUUCUGGGCCUUCACAUCCCACACCUUCAGUGUGCUGUCACUGCUGCCACUGACCAGGAGCCGACUGUCAGCUGACCACGCAAUCUGGUACACGGCAGCCACGUGGCCGCGUAGGGAAGCCAGGUACCUGGUCCAGGAGAAGACGAUGAUGGAUUUUAGUCUGAGUUACAUCUUUCAACACGUCUGAAGGGUCCCCUACGCUCAUGGCAGUGGUUCUCAACCUCGGCUGUCUGUUAGAAAUACCUGGGAACCUUUACAAAAUCACACUGCCUGGUCCCCAUCCCAGACCAUUUUAAUCAUUACCAGUCAUUACAAUUUGUAAAACUUCUCCAAAUGAGUAGCUUCUAACAUGCCUCUUGCUUGCCCUCC